UACAGAGGGUGCGAGCGUUGUCCGGAAUCACUGGGCGUAAAGGGCGCGUAGGUGGUUUUGUGUGUCUACCGUGAAAGCAUACAGCUCAACUGUAUUUUGUCGGUAGAAACUGCAGGACUUGAGGCUGGGAGGGGCUGGUGGAAUUCCCUGUGUAGCGGUGAAAUGCGUAGAGAUGGGGGAGAACACUCGUGGCGAAGGCGGCCAGCUAGACCAGUUCUGACACUGAGGCGCGACAGCGUGGGGAGCAAACAGG
rnacentral:rRNA from 1 species